GUAGUCUCGCACAGAUGCAUAUCAAUAAGCGGAGGAAAAGAAACUAACAAGGAUUCCCCUAGUAACGGCGAGUGAAGCGGGGAGAGCUCAAAUUUGAAAUCUUAAAGGGUUUCCCUUUACGAAUUGUAGUUUAAAGAAGUGUUUUCUGUUGAGGUUUUGGUAAAAGUUCUUUGGAAUAGGACAUCAUAGAGGGUGAGAAUCCCGUAUUUGACCUUUACUUUCAACUUUGUGAUACACUUUCAAAGAGUCGGAUUGUUUGGGAAUGCAGUCCAAAAUGGGUGGUAAAUUUCAUCUAAAGCUAAAUAUUGGCGAGAGACCGAUAGCGAACAAGUACCGUGAGGGAAAGAUGAAAAGAACUUUGAAAAGAGAGUUAAACAGUACGUGAAAUUGUCAAAAGGGAAGCGUUUGACACCAGUGUUGUUUUUCUGAAAAUCAAUUAAAGAACUGUUUAUGCUAAGUUGUUUAGACUUUAUCAGCUAACUGUUUAGUUUUGAGCUUUUCUUUAAUGCACUUUUCAGUUAACAAGUCAACAUCAAUUUCUUUUGCUGUAAAAAAGCUUGAGGAAGGUGGCUUGAGAUUCGUCUUAAGUGUUUAUAGCCUCCUGCCUAUGCAGUCGGAGAGAUUGAGGUCUGCAGCGUAGAUCCUUCGGGGCUAAAUGCAUUUGUGCUAAGUUAUAGCAUUUUAUAGACAACUUGUUGACUAUGAUUUGUCUUGUAGCUUACUCGCUUAUGUUAUUUUACCUACGCUUAGGAUGUUGAAGACUCUACAGAGAUA
rnacentral:rRNA from 1 species